UGGGGAAUCUUGCGCAAUGGGCGAAAGCCUGACGCAGCAACGCCGCGUGGGGGAUGAAGCUUCUCGGAGUGUAAACCCCUUUCGACCCGGACGAAUGCCCGCAAGGGUUUGACGGUACGGGUAUAAGAAGCCCCGGCUAACUACGUGCCAGCAGCCGCGGUAAAACGUAGGGGGCCAGCGUUGCUCGGAAUUACUGGGCGUAAAGGGUCCGUAGGCGGUGUGGCAAGUCGGUAGUGAAAUCUCUGGGCUUAACCCAGAGGCUGCUGCCGAAACUGCCGUGCUAGAGUGCGAGAGAGGCGAGUGGAAUUGCGGGUGUAGCGGUGAAAUGCGUAGAUAUCCGCAGGAACAUCCGAGGCGAAAGCGGCUCGCUGGAUCGCAACUGACGCUGAGGGACGAAAGCUAGGGGAGCAAACAGGAUUAGAUACCCUGGUAGUCCUAGCCCUAAACCAUCAGGACUUGGGGUUUGCCCUGUACGGGGCAAGUCCCGUAGCUAACGCGUUAAGU
rnacentral:rRNA from 1 species